GACGAACGCUGGCGGCGUGCUUAACACAUGCAAGUCGAACGGAAAGGCCCUGCUUUUGUGGGGUGCUCGAGUGGCGAACGGGUGAGUAACACGUGAGUAACCUGCCCUUGACUUUGGGAUAACUUCAGGAAACUGGGGCUAAUACCGGAUAGGAGCUCCUGCUGCAUGGUGGGGGUUGGAAAGUUUCGGCGGUUGGGGAUGGACUCGCGGCUUAUCAGCUUGUUGGUGGGGUAGUGGCUUACGAAGGCUUUGACGGGUAGCCGGCCUGAGAGGGUGACCGGCCACAUUGGGACUGAGAUACGGCCCAGACUCCUACGGGAGGCAGCAGUGGGGAAUAUGGCACAAUGGGCGGAAGCCUGAUGCAGCAACGCCGCGUGCGGGAUGACGGCCUUCGGGUUGUAAACCGCUUUCGCCUGUGACGAAGCGUGAGUGACGGUAAUGGGUAAAGAAGCACCGGCUAACUACGUG
rnacentral:rRNA from 1 species